UACGUAGGGUGCAGGCGUUAAUCGGAAUUACUGGGCGUAAAGCGUGCGCAGGCGGUUUUGUAAGCCAGAUGUGAAAUCCCCGGGCUCAACCUGGGAACUGCAUUUGGGACUGCAAGGCUUGAGUACGGCAGAGGGGGGUAGAAUUCCUGGUGUAGCAGUGAAAUGCGUAGAUAUCAGGAGGAAUACCGAUGGCGAAGGCAGCCCCCUGGGUCGAUACUGACGCUCAUGCACGAAAGCGUGGGGAGCAAACAGG
rnacentral:rRNA from 1 species